AUUGAACGCUGGCGGCAUGCCUUACACAUGCAAGUCGAACGGUAACAGGUUAAGCUGACGAGUGGCGAACGGGUGAGUAAUACAUCGGAACGUGCCCAGUAGUGGGGGAUAGCCCGGCGAAAGCCGGAUUAAUACCGCAUACGACCUAAGGGUGAAAGGGGGGGAUCGCAAGACCUCUCGCUAUUGGAGCGGCCGAUGUCAGAUUAGGUAGUUGGUGGGGUAAAGGCCCACCAAGCCGACGAUCUGUAGCUGGUCUGAGAGGACGACCAGCCACACUGGGACUGAGACACGGCCCAGACUCCUACGGGAGGCAGCAGUGGGGAAUUUUGGACAAUGGGCGCAAGCCUGAUCCAGCCAUGCCGCGUGCGGGAAGAAGGCCUUCGGGUUGUAAACCGCUUUUGUCAGGGAAGAAACAGCAGCUCUAACACAGUUUGCGAAUGACGGUACCUGAAGAAUAAGCACCGGCUAACUACGUGCCAGCCGCCGCGGUAAGAC
rnacentral:rRNA from 1 species